CUCGUAGACUCCUACGGGAGGCAGCAGUGGGGAAUAUUGCACAAUGGGCGCAAGCCUGAUGCAGCCAUGCCGCGUGUAUGAAGAAGGCCUUCGGGUUGUAAAGUACUUUCAGCAGUGAGGAAGGCGGGUACGUUAAUAGCGUGCUCGUUUGACGUUAGCUGCAGAAGAAGCACCGGCUAACUCCGUGCCAGCAGCCGCGGUAAUACGGAGGGUGCGAGCGUUAAUCGGAAUUACUGGGCGUAAAAGCGCAUGCAGGUGGUUUGUUAAGUCAGAUGUGAAAGCCCGGGGCUCAACCUCGGAAUUGCAUUUGAAACUGGCAGACUAGAGUACUGUAGAGGGGGUAGAAUUUCAGGUGUAGCGGUGAAAAUGCGUAGAGAUCUGAAGGAAUACCGGUGGCGAAGGCGGCCCCCUGGACAGAUACUGACACUCAGAUGCGAAAGCGUGGGGAGCAAACAGGAUUAGAUACCCUGGUAG
rnacentral:rRNA from 1 species